AUUGAACGCUGGCGGCAGGCCUAACACAUGCAAGUCGAACGAGUGGCGGACGGGUGAGUAAUGUCUGGGAAACUGCCUGAUGGAGGGGGAUAACUACUGGAAACGGUCGCUAAUACCGCAUACCAUCAGAUGGGCCGAGAUGGGAUUAGCUAGUGGGUGGGGUAACGGCUCACCGAGGCGACGAUCCCUAGCUGGCCUGCGAGGAUGACCAGCCACACUGGCACUGAGACACGGCCCAGACUCCUACGGGAGGCAGCAGUGGGGAAUAUUGCACAAUGGGCGCAAGCCUGAUGCAGCCAUGCCGCGUGUAUGAAGAAGGCCUUCGGGUUGUAAAGUACUUUCAGCGGGGAGGCGUUACCCGCAGAAGAAGCCCCGGCUAACUCCGUGCCAGCAGCCGCGGUAAUAC
rnacentral:rRNA from 1 species